AAACCAGCACCUCAAGUGGUCAGGAUGAUUAUUGGGCCUAAAGCAUCCGUAGCCUGUUUUGUAAGUUUCCGGUUAAAUCCAUUAGCUCAACUAAUGGGCCGCCGAAAAUACUGCAAAACUAGGGAGUGGGAGAGGUAGACGGUACUCGGUAGGAAGGGGUAAAAUCCUUUGAUCUAUUGAUGACCACCUGUGGCGAAGGCGGUCUACCAGAACACGUUCGACGGUGAGGGAUGAAAGCUGGGGGAGCAAACCGGAUUAGAAACCCCGGUAGUCC
rnacentral:rRNA from 1 species